GUCUGAUUAGUUAGUUGGUGGGGUAACGGCUCACCAAGGCGACGAUCAGUAGCCGACCUGAGAGGGUGAUCGGCCACAUUGGAACUGAGACACGGUCCAAACUCCUACGGGAGGCAGCAGUGGGGAAUAUUGCACAAUGGGCGCAAGCCUGAUGCAGCAACGCCGCGUGAACGAAGAAGGCCUUCGGGUCGUAAAGUUCUGUCCAUAGGGAAGAAACAAAUGACGGUACCUGUGGAGGAAGCCCCGGCUAAAUACGUGCCAGCAGCCGCGGUAAUACGUAUGGGGCAAGCGUUAUCCGGAAUUAUUGGGCGUAAAGAGUGCGUAGGUGGUGGCUUAAGCGCAGGGUUUAAGGCAAUAGCUUAACUAUUGUUCGCCUUGCGAACUGGGUCACUUGAGUACAGGAGAGGAAAGCGGAAUUCCUAGUGUAGCGGUGAAAUGCAUAGAUAUUAGGAGGAACACCGGUGGCGAAGGCGGCUUUCUGGACUGCAACUGACACUGAGGCACGAAAGCGUGGGUAGCAAACAGGAUUAGAUACCCUGGUAGUCCACGCCGUAAACGAUGAGCACUAGGUGUCGGCCGAUAA
rnacentral:rRNA from 1 species